CGCACAUUGCGCCCUUUGGUAUUCCGAAGGGCAUGCCUGUUCGAGCGUCAUUAUCACCCCUCAAGCCCCGUGCUUGGUGUUGGACGGCGUUGGUCUUAGGCCAACCCUUCCCAAAGACAAUGACGGCGGCCUGUGGGACCCCCGGUACACUGAGCUUUUGACCGAGCACGUAUCGGAUGAGGGUGCCCAGGACACGGUCUUUACCCAAUUUUUCAAGGUUGACCUCGGAUCAGGUAGGAAUACGCGCUGAACUUAA
rnacentral:misc_RNA from 1 species